rnacentral:tRNA from 1 species
CUGGGGUUGGGGCUCAGUGGUAGAGUGCUUGCCUAGCAUGCAUGAAGCACUGGGUUUGAUCCUCAGUACCACAUA